rnacentral:lncRNA from 1 species
CCUGGUCAAGAGGCCUUAUGGGAGAGGCAGUUCAAUGUCCGAUUGGUGGCCAUAGUCUCCAACUAUGGCAGCCUCGUCGCCCCAAGUGGUUCCGUCCCCGGCGACGGCGAGGUGGAUCCCGAGUGGAUGUUGAGGACCCGAUUGCAUUUCUUCUUUCUUGUUUUGGGUCCUUUCUACAAUUUCUAGGGACUUGUGUGUAAUUCUCAGUCUUUAGAGGGUCAUGUUGCAAUAUGUGCUAAGUUCACUACUAAUGAAUAAAAUCCUCUUGAUCCUUCCGGAUCCAGCUUUUACAAAAAAAAAAAAGAUAUGCCUUCUCCUUUCCAUUCCACCUGUUCCACGAGUGCAGCCACUUCCUCCUCUCCACUGGUACAAAAAAGACACGACCUCAGUAGUGCCGAAAGACUUCAACCUUAAGACGAGGCACAACUGGAUGGUACGAUCGAGUGGAAGGCCUUAUGCAGAAGAUGAAAGAAGAAACUUAUAGGGAAUUCCAAGUGAGGAACCGGCCAUAUGGAUGUUAGAUGCUCUAGUUGUGACAUGUUUAAAUUGCGCUUCCCGAUUAUAGGCGCAUUACAUAAUAUUUAUCUAGACGAGGAAGAACAAGAAUAGUUGCAAUCUUUGUAGUUUUAUUUCCUUUUUGUAAUUUUCAUUUCCUUUUAAGCCAGAUUGUA